GCUUACGGCCACACCGCCUGGUAUACGCUUUGAUCUCGGAAGCUAAGGUAGGUUGGGCCUGGUUAGUACUUGGAUGGGAGACCGCCUGGGAAUACCAGGUGCUGUAAGCU
rnacentral:rRNA from 1 species